rnacentral:rRNA from 1 species
GUCCAGAAGGAAGGAGAGUUCACCCUUAGAAUCGAUCCAUGAGCUGGGUUAAUAGCGUCCAGCGGCAGUUUCUUCCCAAU